rnacentral:lncRNA from 1 species
CAGUACCAGAUCAAUGUGUAGGGGUAAUAGAUAUAUACAGGGAGUACCAGAUCAAUAUCAAUGUGUAGGCGUAAUAGAUAUAUACAGGGAGUACCAGAUCAAUGUGGAGGGGUAAUAGAUAUAUACAGGGAGAACCAGUACCAGAUCAAUGUGUAGGGGUAAUAGAUAUAUACAGGGAGAACCAGAUCAAUGUGGAGGGGUAAUAGAUAUAUACAGGGAGUACCAGAUCAAUGUGUAGGGGUAAUAGAUAUAUACAGGGAGAACCAGUACCAGAUCAAUGUGGAGGGGUAAUAGAUAUAUACAGUGAGAACCAGAUCAAUGUGGAGGGGUAAUAGAUAUAUACAGUGAGAACCAG